UACGUAGGGCGCAAGCGUUGUCCGGAAUUAUUGGGCGUAAAGAGCUCGUAGGCGGCUUGUCACGUCGGGUGUGAAAGCCCGGGGCUUAACCCCGGGUCUGCAUUCGAUACGGGCUGGCUAGAGUGUGGUAGGGGAGAUCGGAAUUCCUGGUGUAGCGGUGAAAUGCGCAGAUAUCAGGAGGAACACCGGUGGCGAAGGCGGGUCUCUGGGCCGAAAUUGACGCUGAGGAGCGAAAGCGUGGGGAGCGAACAGG
rnacentral:rRNA from 1 species